CCUACGGGCGGCAGCAGUGAGGAAUAUUGGUCAAUGGACGAGAGUCUGAACCAGCCAAGUAGCGUGAAGGAUGACUGCCCUAUGGGUUGUAAACUUCUUUUAUAUGGGAAUAAAAUGUUCCCCGUGUGGGAUUUUGUAUGUACCAUAUGAAUAAGGAUCGGCUAACUCCGUGCCAGCAGCCGCGGUAAUACGGAGGAUCCGAGCGUUAUCCGGAUUUAUUGGGUUUAAAGGGAGCGUAGGUGGAUUGUUAAGUCAGUUGUGAAAGUUUGCGGCUCAACCGUAAAAUUGCAGUUGAAACUGGCAGUCUUGAGUACAGUAGAGGUGGGCGGAAUUCGUGGUGUAGCGGUGAAAUGCUUAGAUAUCACGAAGAACUCCGAUUGCGAAGGCAGUUCACUGGACUGCAACUGACACUGAGGCUCGAAAGUGUGGGUAUCAAACAGGAUUAGAUACCCGAGUAGUC
rnacentral:rRNA from 1 species